AAUUAAGAUUUUCAUCUAUUUCUACUGCUAAAAACCGACGGAAUAACCAAACAAUUACACAUGGUGUGCUACGUGUACUCAUUUUGAUGUACAAGGACCAAUUUUUAUAAUAGAAAUGGAUGAAAUUUUUAACA
rfam:Gossypium hirsutum cultivar TM-1 chromosome 26, whole genome shotgun sequence